rnacentral:piRNA from 1 species
UGCAAAAUGGUAUAAGAUCAGCCAGAC